rnacentral:rRNA from 1 species
GUCUCUUUGAUUUUAUUUAAUAGAGAGUUGGGCCUGCUCGGUGAUUUAUAUUUAACAGCUGCGGUAUUAUAACUGUACUAAGGUAGCAUAAUAAUUUGCUCUAUAAAUUAGGGCUAGAAUGAAUGGUUUGACGAAAAUUAGACGUGUCUCUGUUUUAUUUAUUAGAAAUUAAUUAUUAUAGUGAAAAGCUUGGAUGAUUUAAAGGGACGAAAAGACCCUAUUGAGCUUAUAUUAGCAAUGAUUAUAUAAAUAUAUAAUUAUUGAGAUGUAAUUUUGGUUGGGGUGUCAAUGAAUAAAUUAUAUAAUAACUUCUUUAAUAUAUUUGUUUUGAUAGGGUAAUAAACCAAAUUUUUUUUGCUUAUAAGAUAAGUUACCAUAGGGAUAACAGCGUAAUUUUUUUUGAGAGUUCAUAUUGAAAAAAGAGAUUGCGACCUCGAUGUUGGAUUAAAAUUAACCUUAAGGUGUAGAGGCUUUAUUAGGUGAAUCUGUUCGAUUUUUAAAAUUUUAC